GAUCGUGUCCGCUCGAGAUUGAAAGUGCCCUGUGUGACUGGUAUUUUCGUGCUGCGACGACUUUCAUUUCCAAAUAGCAAAAUAAAAAGAACAUUUCUAAGCGAGUAUCUCGGUGCGCGUCAGGGAACAGCUAAUUUCAAGCAACGACAUCUUUUUGCUACGUUGACCUUCAGAGCGUGUGCUGUACCUGUAUUGUACUGCUACUGCUAUUCGGGUGUUCUAUGAACCUAUGGCACAAAAUAUGAACUUGAUAACCGACAAUGCUGUUGAAACGUGGCUUUGCUUUAUUUCUGUUGCAGAUACAUCAAUAAAAAAAAAAGGGCACGGGCUAUGGCCAGAUAAUGUGGCCCUUUUAUUGGGAUAUACACAAAUUUCUCCAGGCACACGGCCGGCAAAGGCGGCCAUAUUGAAUAUUGCUCUAAAAAAAAAAAAAGCUGCAUUUCCGCUUCCUGUUCUUGCAGCGCCUUCUGGCGUCCACCUAGUCUGCAGAUGGAGGAGCACUUAAUACGGGAGCAGUUUCGGGCUGUGGCCAUGGGCAAGGCGAGGAUCAACGCCAAGGAUCUUAAGCAAGUACUUGGUCAAGGCCCUUGGGGCAAAAUGAGUAAAAAAACUGUGGUGAAAUUGUUGAGGUUCUUCACAGAAGGCAGAGCCACGGUUGAGGAAGAUACAUUUUUGUCCAUCUGGAGGAGCCUGGAAACGUGGAUGGAGGCUGCCGAGUCACUCGGUGCAUUGAAUCGUCAACAAGCAAGCAACACAAUGAGAAGGCUCGGUGUGGCCAACCACGACAGCCUUACGGCCAUCAUGUUUUCAGUUAUUGCAGAGAAUAGUGAAAAUAUUAGUUUUGAGGGACUCGUUAAUGGGCUCGUGGGCUACUAUUUGCUCCAGCGUUACGCUGGAAACCAGCAAGCUGACGCAGUGUCAGUUGAUUGGCCAACACUGUCAGCAUUCACUUUUAAAUAUAUUGGUUGAGUUUAGUUGGCUGUGCAAGUGCUUUUGUUUUCUGUGACCUUGUUUCUAUGAAACUGUACUGUCCUGUUAUCAUAUGCUCGGUGGCCUAGUACAUUUGUGCGCAUCAGGAGCCCCGCAAGCUGCCACUGCCGGGGUACAUUCCAAACAGACGCUGUAAAAAAUCCCAAUGUUUUCUAUGAUAAAUUGCUUCGGUACUGCAUAGGUUUGGUUAAUAUGCUUUUUUUUUUUUUUUUGAUGUUGAAACCUUUACAUGAGUUCUCCGCAUUUGCGUAGUUUCAUCGGCAUAAUCUUGUGAGAGCUUGUGACAUCCUCUACCAGAGGCGCAGCCAUCUAUGCACCCUUGAACAUUUUACACUUUUUAGGGUGUAGUCUUGGUCCAAAAUCUAUAUGCGGCCAUUUGUUGUGUGCGCAUUUUCCUUGUGUAACGCUGCGCGUUCGUACCAUCUCUUCAACAACCUCGCUUGUUUCCGAGUGUCCCGUAGCGUUUCAGGCAGGAAAUAUUAUUGGAAGCUUAGUGCUGACAAAAAAGAAAAAAAAUAUAUAAAAUAACGAUAACCGUUUGUGUCAAGUCUGCACCCUAAAGGGCAACAAAAUUGUGCUCUUGACCAUGUGGUGCUUGUCCCAUGAUUUCUAGCCAUGUGGAGCGAACUGUGGCAUUGAGAACGUUGUAUUCUGCAAACUACAUUUUCACUUGCAACUUGCGAAUGCACAACUGGGUUACGUAAAACUUAGCUCAGAACUGAGAGACUUUCAUCUUUUUAAACUUCCUGAGGUACAUCUUAAAAAGUUGCAUAACUGUUAUUUUACUGAGUUAGAGCGGACGUAUCCUUCCUGCUUCCUUCCCUUUAUUUGCAGUAAUUCAAUGCAAUGUAUCAAUUGAAUUUCUGAAAUUGUGUGAUCUUCCACAACAUUUUAUUAGGUACUGGAAGAAUGCGUCAUUUUUCCACUCGCAUUAUCAAGCUGAACUUUUUUUUUUUUUUAAGCAGCAAGUUACAAACUGGUGGCAGUGGUUCAGCAUCACAUUUGGGACAUCACCUCUACUCUAGUUUGCAACUAUACGAGGCCCAUUCUGCCUGUCGAUUGCGCAUUACCCAGCCUAUGUGGUGCUUCUGUACUGCACUUUAACUUUGUUAAAAUGUUAAAAUGUGAGGCUUAGGUGUGUGGUCAAAGGCUGUGUCAGACAAAGCACUAGUGGAAUACCUUGCGUUAUCCACCAUCUUGAUGUUACAUCUAUUGAGGCAUUUCUUGGUCUCGCACUUCAAGCGGUGCACUCUAAAAAAGAUGUACAUUUUUCUUUUUCUACGAUAGUUGUCAUCACUGUUGCGUGCAUGUUUUCACAGUGCACCAGUUUAUUUUCUGUUGGGAACACUAAACAGCACUUAAAGCCAUGUGAUGUUCCUGAUAAAAGUACUAGGCACGCUGUGUUGAAAAACAAAAAAAAAUGGGUGAGGUGUUGCACACAAGAUUGGCGACGAUUAUUGCUGUACAUAAUUGCACCAUAAAGGGUGGCAUAGCUUGGUAUCCCAAAGGGUGCGAAAUUCAACCAAGUUGUGUGGUGGGCUAAUACCUCAAAGGGUGCAACGCAUUUUAGAGUGUAAAUCCUGCAGAAGUGAAAGAUAGUCUCAUUUGCCCGCUCACAGUAGUCUCAUUGAUCGUAAAGGCACAUCUUUAAAAAUUCUUGACACCACAUGAGAAGCCAACAAACACUGACACCAAGGACAACAUAGGGGAAUUGUUUAAUAAAUGAAAUAAAGAAACGAUAAAUUACUGUAAAUUAAAGUGGAUGAAAAAACCAACUUGCAGGUGGGAACCGAACCCACAACCUUCGCAUUUCGCGUGCGAUGCUCUACCAAUUGAGCUACCACGGCACCAUUUCCCCAUCCACUUUCUUGGGUAUUUAAGUGUCCUAGCAGAACCCUGAGAGUGUUAGCCAGCGCCACCACUCACAGACCUUGGCAGCGUACGUGGAAUGUCCUUUUUGCUGCAGGCGUCACGAGAACGUGACCCUUUUGGGUGAAGGCAACUGGUCAACUGGCAGCUGGUCAAUGCGAAGGUUGUGGGUUCGGUUCCCACCUGCAGCAAGUUGGUUUUUUCAUCCACUUUAAUUUCCAUUAAUUUAUCGUUUCUUUAUUGAUUUAUUAAACAAGUAAUUUCCCCUAUUUUGUCCUUGGUGUCAGUGUUUGUUGGCUUCUCAUGAUAUGACUAAUAAAAAUCGGGCCCCUCAGUUAACCCGCUUUCUUCUCGUUCUUGACACCACGUUAGACUAUGAUACUCGUUUGCCUAAGUCGCCCCUGACAAUGUGUGUUGGGGCACAUUUGCGGGAUAUUCUUAAACAGGGUCACGUGACUGGAAGCACUGAAAUUUCGUUCACGUCGGCCUGGAGCCCGUGCAGUUGUUAGCCGCCGUCAUAGUUCUGCUCAUGCUCAUUUUAUCAAGUGGAAGAAAAGGAUGGCAUUGUUCUGUGUCGCAUGACUUUUCUGAGCAGUUUCGAAUGUGCUUUCUGCGUUGUCCUUGUCUUGUGCAAUAAAAUUUUUGGUGUAAAA